AUUUACAUGAAGAUUGGCAAGAACACAAACUACAGGUCACACAUAAUAGUGAAAGAAAUGUUGAAGAUGCUGGCUCAAGUUGUGGAGGAGCCGAUCCUACAUGUCAUUCAGACAUCUGUAGCCAUUGGCCUGGAGGCUGAUGAAACUACAGCUGUGGCAACUAAUAAGCAGCUGGAUUUACAUGUCAGGUUUAUAUUUCAAUAAGAGUUACAACAUUAUUUUGAAUAGUGAUAUUCUACAGUCACACUGCAUCCAUGAGUAAUAAUGAAAUGGUUUAUGGAUUUGUGUAUGUUUUCUAGAUACAUGGACCAGGAGGGACACCUUUAAAACUAGUUCCUGGACCUGGUGUCAGUCUCUGAUGGCCAGGCAGACACCAUUGUUGCCACCAUCAAGGAGGUGCUGCAGAUCAAAAAGAUACCAACAGAGAGAUUGUACGACCUGGGCACUGAUGGGGCUGUGGUGAUGACUGGUAUGGACACAACACUAAGUCUUAUGUAAUACCCUUGGUAGAACCAAGUAUUGAGUUUAUUUUUUAUAAUUAAUUGGUCAUUUACAAGUGAAUAGGUUUCUUUACUUUUAAGUUUUGACCAAUAAGGUCGCUUGUUAGGCUGUGGCCAAUGGGAGAUUUGCCCUGGUUAACGGAAGGCCUGGGAAAAAAGAGAAAGACGUUGAGAAAAAGGAUGGACAUUACAUUAGGACCGUUGGUGAAGAAAAAUUAGAAAAGAUGACAAUAAAAAUAGAACAAAACCCAUACCUACCCAGUUUAGAAGGGAAAUACCGAUUUUAUUUUAUAAGAGUUAUCGUUUUGUUAAGACAGACUUAGUAAAGACUGAAGCUACUAUUUACACUAUACUAUGUCUUGUGAUACAAAUCAUUUUUCUCAUCUUCAAACAGGACAACAUAGUGGUGUGUCAAAACAGCUAAAGGAUGCCUUCCCGUGGAUGGUGUCUGUGGCUUGUCCUGCCCACCAUCUUGCUCUGGCCUGAUUUGCUGACGUCCCCUAUAUGAGAUUAUGUAUCACAUUCCUUCGCUUGGCUACUCUGGUCUCAUCUUGUUUACGUACUGCAUCUACACUCAAAAUAAAUGUAUUUUGCAGGAAGUAAAGGAUGUUCGCUGGCUGUCCCAGAACCUGGCCGUGGCUGAUCUCAGCGAAACCUCAGCGCAGUGUUUGUGGCAUUGGCUGAGGAGGUGGAGGUGAACCGGUGCCCAACUGCAAAGGGCCUCUACGCCAGUGAUGCAAACUAGUCACCUUUGGGCAAAAUUCUCAGUUUUUAAUGCAAAAUAGGUAAACUACGUGAUUCGUGUAGAUUCGAUGAGAAUUUUAGUUUUGUUUUUGCGUUUGGGUCACUAAUGGCUGUAAGCGAACCAGUGAUGUAUGUUUGGCGCAAUAAGGUCUGUAUCCAAGACUCGAUCCUGGGCUCAGUCAGUCGUUCACAUAACAGAAUGCAGCAUGCAACUGAAGAGAGAAGAGACAACCAACUUGCUAGCUGCAGCAUCAGCGUGUGCUCUGGAAAGACAGCGGAGAGUGGAAAGGCAGUUUGCGAGUUACAACACUAGUGCGUCCCCUGAACGACAACGAAGAGGUAGGUGACAAGCCUGGAGAUGGAGAUGAGAAGGUGAUGAAGCAUACUUCAUGAGCUGUAACCGAAAAAUAACUGGCAUUUGGAAAGUUUGAGGUGAGGAAGCAAGUGUGGUGGAACAAGAAUUGUUAGCAUUGUUAAGUAUCUUUUUACAGUAGCUGGAUCGAAUUCUCCGUUAGCUAGCCAGAGAAAUGUUGAGCAACAUUAGCUGAUCAAAUAAUGGAGUUUAUGGUGUGAAAAUUUGCUGAAUUAACAUUUUAACAUUAGAUGAGGUAACGUUAGCAGCGUUAGUUCGAGGAACCAAUUAGCUAUAGUAUUAACUGGUAUACGUCUCCUUGCCGUUCCUCAAGCUAUAACGUUAGUUUCUCACUGGACCCUGGCAAUCUGUGUGAAAUGUUAACUAGUUAGUAGUUAGUUCAUUAGCUAGCUAUCUAUGAACAAAUGUUUUCCUUCUAUGUGGUUAAUUUUCAGAAUGAGAGAAUUAGGUGAACAUUAGGCAUUGCUUGUUAAACAAGUGGAUUCAGGGAUCAAGUGUAGCUGGAGCUGGGCCUAGCUUAAGGAUGCCAAUAGAGGUGAAAAGGAACACCACACACUUUCGUUCUUUUUCAAUAAGGUGGAUAAAAAGUGGUAUGCCAGAUGCACUCUGCCUGAAAGAUCAAUUAUGCCAACAAAGGGUCUCAUGCUCUGCUGCUAGCACAUUGUAGUACAGGCAGAAAGUGUGCAAUGUAAUAACACGCAGUGUAGCCCAAAGAUAUUGCUUUUAUGUUGAACUUGACAUCAUACUGUAACACUUUUGUGUGAGUGAGGGGGGAUUACUUUAUCUUUUACUCAGUGAACGUUAUUUUUGCACACAUGUAGCCUUGUGCCCUUAAUCAAUGUCUACUAUAGUGGCCACAAUAAUAGAGCAAAAAUAGAAUGCCUGUUUAUUUUCUUCUAUUUCUACUUUAAGAUGUUUUUUCCCCAAGUGCAAUAUUUACAUGUAUGUGGUCACAAGCGUUCUAUUAUAAAGGCUGUCAUGGCUAACUGCAAUAUUAGUGUAUUGUUUUUUUUCUCUGGACUUGCGUGUCUUUCGCAGUAAAGUCUAGGCAACAAAUAACAUUGGAUUGCUUUCCUUAAUUUUUUGCUAUGAGUUUGGUUCACAUUAACCACUUUUUAUUUUAUAUACAGACACGGCUCAUGUAGAUCAUAUUCUUUGUUGUUUAAUUAGUACAGUUAAAACCUGAAUUUCAAGAUGGGAUCCAGCCUAAAAGCCACUAGAAAUUAGCGUUUUAAAGCAUAUUCUCACGCUCUGACCUUAGAGAUAAUUUAUUCUCUAUUUUGGGGUUAGGUCGGGGUGUGACUAGGGUGGGCAUUCUAGUUUUGUUAUUUCUAUGUUGGCCUGGUAUGGUUCCCAAUCAGAGGCAGCUGUCUAUCGUUGUCUCUGAUUGGGGAUCCUAUUUAGGCAGCUUUUUCCCACCUGUUUGUUGAGGGAUCUUGUUUUUGUGUAGUGCCUGUGAACACUGCAUUGACGGCACGUUUAGUUUGUUCUGUAUUGUUUUGCUCAGUUUCACUUAUUAAACAUGUGGAACUCUACGCACGCUGCGCCUUGGUCCGUUAAUUCUACAGACGAUCGUGACACACACAUAUAUAUAUUUAAUUAUUUGCGUGUUUCAGUGUCCCAAAAAUGUGUCACCUUUAGGGCCCUCACCAGUUUGCAUCCCUGCUCUACACUUUCUGUGCCACGUACAGGUAGGCCUAGAUGUAUUGUAGAUUAUAGUGGACUCCAAAUUAAAUAAUGUACUAUGUUGCUAUUACUGCUUUCAGUGUCUCAACUCUAUUUGAGUGGUCCACGAUGUGGCUUUUAAAACCUGUUUUGUAUUGUCAAUUGAUGUAUCAUUGUUGAGUGACAAACAUUUCUAACUCUACAGAUUUGUGGCAGCACUUUACCUGCUGGCGGAUGUGCUGCCUCACCUGACGUGGCUUUCAAAUUAUAUUCCAAUUAGAGGAUGUAAACUUCCUGGCCAUAAAAGAGCAGGUCCCUGUGACAAUGGCAUCACUCCUUGCCAUAAAACAUUCUGGUGAUUCCCAGCCCCCGGGGUCAUUUCUGAGCUAACUCCACCAGGACCUCGAUGUCCCAAUGGGUCUGGGCGCAUUCAACAUCAAGGAGGAGGAGAGGGAGAGGCCAGGUGGAGACCAAGACCAGGAAGCAGUUCUGAGCUGGGUUUAGAGAGGAGGUCAUGGAUCCAUAUAUUGUUGGCCUCCAGGACAGCCUAGACCAGAGGUUCCAACACCGGGAGAUUCUGGGGGCCUCCAGGACAGCCUAGACCAGAGAUCCCAACACCGGGAGAUUCUGGGGGCCUCCAGGACAGCCUAGACCAGAGGUUCCAACACCUGGAGAUUCUGGGGGCCUCCAGGAUAGCCUAGACCAGAGGUUCCAACACCUGGAGAUUCUGGGGGCCUCCAGGAUAGCCUAGACCAGAGGUUCCAACACCUGGAGAUUCUGGGGGCCUCCAGGACAGCCUAGACCAGAGGUUCCAACACCUGGAGAUUCUGGGGGCCUUCAGUGUGUUGGGAACUCAGUCUUCGUUCUCCAGUGAGAGGAUAAACACCGUUAACCUGAUCCUCCUCACCAGGCAGUUUGUUGCAAGCGCCAGAGGCUGCUGUGCUCCAAGAGUGGCCCUCUUACAAGCAACAUGUGCUAGUUGGAGCAUUCACAGUAUCGAAUGAGUGUGACAAUCUUUUGAAGAGAACAUUUUAGGCCAGUUUUGCCCAACCCUUUUUCCUGUUGAACUACCACUCUGCUGGCUCUUCUUUAAUGCUGUACAUCUUUUUGUUUUUCAUGUAUUUCAGGGGUUGAAUCAGCUGACGGCAAUGACAAAGCUGGCCUCGCAAUUUGAGUGGGGGCAGCUCUACCCCUGCCUUAGCCAGUUGGCAGAAAUUGCACUGACUAUACCAGUGUCUUCCGUUAAUUGUAAGAGGGACUUCUCUGCAAUGAAACGAGUCAAAACAGACUUGAGGAACAGACUGCAGGGAGAGCAUCUAGCCGCCUGCAUGCGGCUCUCCAUCAAAGAAACACAACCCAACCAAGCCGCACGGCUUCUUAACACAGCUCGCAUCCAACCCGGAAGCCAGCGGCACCAAUGUGUCGGAGGAAACACCGUGCACCUGGCGACCUGGUUAGCGUGCACUGCGCCCGGCCCGCCACAGGAGUCGCAAACCCUCCCUAACCCGGACUACGCUAGGCCAAUUGUGCGUCGCCCCAUGGACCUCCCGGUCGCGGCCGGCUGCGACAGAGACUGGGCUCGAACCCAGAGUCUCUGGUGGCACAGCUAGCACUGCGAUGCAGUGCCCUAGACCACUGCGCCAUGCUAACACAUUUUCCAGAGGAAACACUACCACAGUUGCAACACUUUCAGUGUUGUUUUAACACGGUGUUCAUUUUGCUAUGAUUUUUAACACUGGAGAAUUUGCGGUGUAGAUUUAAACCAUGAAACAACAUCUAACAUCAUUAAUGGGUUAACCUGUCACAUCACAGUAAAUCAAAACAACAGUUUGAGUGUCCCCAACCAUUACAAAAUAGACUGGGACAAUGAGUGCCCAAUGGCACAGACAGUCCUUAAUUGAAGCGAGACAGUCAAUUACCCCAAACCAGCAGCCAUAGCAGCAGCCAUAAUUGAUCUCCUUUGAUCUAGACAUUUUCAGAAUUUGUCUCGGUGGCAUGUCUACGAUCCAAUAACUGUGAGUGUAUGUGUGUCUCAGUGAGCGAUCUCUGCUUCCAUACUCAGGUGAAUGUGUGCUGACUGAGCAGGCUGGGUAACGCUUGCCUGCACUCUGUUGCUGCAUUCUCUUGAACCUUCGGGGCAUGUCUACAAGCACAGCAUAAUAGGAUCUGAACUCUACUGGGUUAUGGAGCUAGCUGAGGCUGGAGAGAGAAAGACUACUUCUCACUGCCCUGACCUAAAAACCACCUCUCCUUCUUGGAGACCUUACUGAACACCAUAAGGGAGGGAUGGAGGAGGAGGAGGGAGCGACAGAGAGAGUGCGAGUACAAGACAGAAGGGGAUAAAGGUAGAGAGAAAGAGACAGAAACAGGGAGAUAGAAAGGUCAAAGCAGGUAUCAUUGACCCGGUGCUGCUGGUGAUGAGUAUUACCUGCUGGAAUGGGUUGGGGAGGGUCUGGCUGCAGUACAGGUAGUAAUGCACUAUAUCUGUAGAGAACAGGGAGACACCAACAAGUCAGAAAGACUCAGCAAUAACAUUGAUCUCUUUAAGUAUAAUGUGAUUACAGCCCGGGGUGGGUAUAAACACCUUGUAAUUACAGGUUCAUUAAAGUGACAUCAAAAGCAUAGCUUGUCUUUAACUCACCAGAACUGAUCAGGUCUUUGGUCUGGUUCAUGAUGAACUUGUCUGGGAUCACACAGAAGUCACUGGUGCCCUGAACACAAGAAGAAAGGACAUUUUUAAAAACCACAAAACUAGUGUCAAAGUAGUCUAUCAAACACACCCCCCCUCCUGUGUUUAAUAGGAAUACGUACAGGUCUCUCGGGGUUCAACUAAUGAGCCUCUAUAUACCACAGAUGAAAAGCUGCCUAUUUUGCCUCUUCUCGAAAUCCAACUGUUUGUGAGUAUAUUGUUCCAUAAAGCCUAUAGAGAGAGA